rnacentral:lncRNA from 12 species
CAUUGCACGCGGAAACCUGCCAGGACUGGAGGGCUGGCAGAGAUGGCCAGCCGGGGGCGGGGGGAGGGGUGUGGAGGGUGAGCAGUGAUUGCUGACUGGUGGCCAGCUGCGGAGCUCCGAGGGGCCAGUGUGGACAAGUGUGCAUGGCUGAGGCUGCAGCAAACCCAUGGCUGUGAGCAUCUGAGGCCUGAGGCCUGAGAACCUCCCAAGAAGAUGAGGCUGGUGACCCAAAUAGACCAGGCUGGGGAAGCAGCCAGCGGUGGCUGACACACACUGUCUGUCACCUUCUACUUGGUGGCCAUGUUCUAUCUCCAGCUCCUCCUGCCAUUUAUUGUUUUCAAGAUGGCACCAUGUGAGGCGCCAGGGAAACAGUGCUGCACCAGAAGCAGAUGUGAUUCCCUCAAGGCUUGCAGCGUAGAGGAGGAGACAGAGAAAGCCCUUGUGAAUUAUGAAUAAAUCAUGUAAAUACAGACUGUGACCAGCUACAAAGGAGAAAAGGCAGUGAAGUAGACCAGCAGAUGGAAAAUGCCUUUUGUAGGAGCUAAGGGUGAGUUUCUCAAGCCAAGGCUGGGGGAGAAGGAGCUCUUCUUGCAAAGGAGGGAGGUUGUUCCGAGCAGGGGGAGAAGCAGCAGCAAAGGUCCUGUGGCAGAGUGCCACCGGAUGUGUUCUGGAAACUAAAGACAGAAGCAAAUGUGGCUGCAAUGACAUUUCAUAGGUGAUGGAUUCAUCUAGAAUAGAUUUCUUCAGUGGUUGUUAAGUUCCCUCAGCAUACAGAUUGUAUCCAGUAAUUUCUGGGAAUUUCUCCAAUUGCUAGAGCAAAGGGAGCACACAGCGGCAGUGAGGAAAUAUUCAUGGAAGGGAUUUGUUAGCACCUUUCCAGAAGUGGCUUGGGAGGCUGACAUGCCCACCUUUGGCUUUUCCUGCAGGUGAAUUAUUUUUCUUGUUCCCAUGUUGGGAAGAAAAAGAAGUAAAUGAAUAGCAUCUAUGAGAGCAUGCCAGGGCCUUAUGGCUUUUAUUUAAAGACUUAACAUCACCCAUUUGCAACAUCUUCAUUAAUUUAUGAGGUUACAGUGCUAUUUGUUACCUAAAACUCUUGUAGAGACAUCGUAGGAUGGGAAUAAAUACGAAAAUAAUUACA